GAUUAACGCUGGCGGCGUGCAUAACACAUUCAAGUCGAACGGACAAAGGACUUCGGUCCUGCGUUAGUGGCGGACGGGUGAGUAACGCGUGAGGAACCUGCCCCUUUGAGCGGAAUAACGACCGGAAACAGUCGCUAAUACCGCAUAACACAUACUGAUCGCAUGUUUAGUAUGUCAAAGAUUUAUCGCAAAGGGAUGGCCUCGCGUUGGAUUAGAUAGUUGGCGGGGGAACGGCCCACCAAGUCGACGAUCCAUAGCCGGACUGAGAGGUUGAACGGCCACAUUGGAACUGAGAUACGGUCCAGACUCCUACGGGAGGCAGCAGUGGGGAACAUUGGGCAAUGGGCGCAAGCCUGACCCAGCGACGCCGCGUGAGGGAAGACGGUCUUCGGAUUGUAAACCUUAAACAUCAGGGACGAACAAAUGACGGUACCUGAUAGGAAGCCACGGCUAACUACGUGCCAGCAGCCGCAGUAAGAC
rnacentral:rRNA from 1 species